rnacentral:rRNA from 1 species
GAUGAACGCUAGCUACAGGCUUAACACAUGCAAGUCGAGGGGUAGCAGGGUAGCAAUACCGCUGACGACCGGCGCACGGGUGAGUAACACGUAUCCAACCUUCCCAUAACUCGGGGAUAGCCUUUCGAAAGAAAGAUUAAUACCCGAUAGUACUUUUUCAAGGCAUCUUGAGAAAGUUAAAGAUUUAUUGGUUAUGGAUGGGGAUGCGUUCCAUUAGAUAGUUGGUGAGGUAACGGCUCACCAAGUCUUCGAUGGAUAGGGGUUCUGAGAGGAAGGUCCCCCACAUUGGUAGUGAGAAACGGACCAAACUCCUACGGGAUGCAGCAGUGAGGAAUAUUGGUCAAUGGGCGAGAACCUGAACCAGCCAAGUAGCGUGAAGGAUGAAGGUCUUAUGGAUUGUAAACUUCUUUUAUAGUAGAAUAAAGUGAUCCACGUGUGGAUUUUUGUAUGUAUACUAUGAAUAAGGAUCGGCUAACUCCGUGCCAGCCGCCGCAGUAAGAC